rnacentral:rRNA from 1 species
UGGGGAAUCUUGGACAAUGGGGGCAACCCUGAUCCAGCGACGCCGCGUGGGUGGUAAGGCCUUCGGGUUGUAAAGCCCUUUCACCGGGGAAGAUGAUGACAUUACCCGGAGAAGAAGCGCCGGCUAACUCCGUGCCAGCAGCCGCGGUAAGACGGAGGGCGCUAGCGUUGUUCGGAAUCACUGGGCGUAAAGGGCGCGUAGGGGGCUGAUUAAGUCGAGGGCGAAAGGCCGGGGCUCAACGCGGGAUCGGCCUUCGAGACUGGGCAGGUCGAGACGGGAAGAGGAGGGUGGAAUACCCAGUGUAGAGGUGAAAUUCGUAGAUAUUGGGUGGAACACCAGUGGCGAAAGCGGCUCUCUGGUCCGGAUCUGACGCUGAGGCGCGAAAGCGUGGGGAGCAAACAGGAUUAGAUACCCGCGUAGUCC